GACAGAGGUGCCGAGCGUUAGGCGGAAUCACUGGGCUUAAAGCGUGUGUAGGCGGGCGAUCAAGUACCUUGUGAAAUCCCACGGCUCAACCGUGGAACCGCUGGGUAUACUGGUUGUCUUGAGCCGGCUAGGGGCGAGCGGAACAGACGGUGGAGCGGUGAAAUGCGUAGAUAUCGUCUGGAACGCCGAAGGUGAAAACAGGUUGCUGGGGUUGUGCCGACGCUGAGACACGAAAGCCAGGGGAGCAAACGGG
rnacentral:rRNA from 1 species